CCUACGGGGUGCAGCAGUGAGGAAUAUUGGUCAAUGGACGAGAGUCUGAACCAGCCAAGUCGCGUGAAGGAUGAUUGCCCUAUGGGUUGUAAACUUCUUUUAUAUGGGAAUAAAAUGUUCCACGUGUGGGAUUUUGUAUGUACCAUAUGAAUAAGGAUCGGCUAACUCCGUGCCAGCAGCCGCGGUAAUACGGAGGAUCCGAGCGUUAUCCGGAUUUAUUGGGUUUAAAGGGAGCGUAGGUGGAUUGUUAAGUCAGUUGUGAAAGUUUGCGGCUCAACCGUAAAAUUGCAGUUGAAACUGGCAGUCUUGAGUACAGUAGAGGUGGGCGGAAUUCGUGGUGUAGCGGUGAAAUGCUUAGAUAUCACGAAGAACUCCGAUUGCGAAGGCAGUUCACUGGACUGCAACUGACACUGAGGCUCGAAAGUGUGGGUAUCAAACAGGAUUAGAUACCCUUGUAGUC
rnacentral:rRNA from 1 species